rnacentral:rRNA from 1 species
UACGUAGGGGGCGAGCGUUGUCCGGAAUUAUUGGGCGUAAAGCGCGCGUAGGCGGGAUAGUCAGUCUGUUGUAAAAGCGCGGGGCUUAACCCCGUAAGGUCAAUGGAAACUGCUAUUCUUGAGUGCAGGAGAGGAGAGUGGAAUUCCCAGUGUAGCGGUGAAAUGCGUAGAUAUUGGGAGGAACACCAGUGGCGAAGGCGAGUUUCUGGACUGUGUCUGACGCUGAGGCGCGAAAGCCAGGGGAGCGAACGGG